UGCUUUUUCAUGUAAUUUACAUGGAAGAUUAUGGAGGUAGAGCUGCUAAUUUGGAUAAAAACCACAGUUGAGGUCGCCUGAAUGAGAUCCGGUGUCUUUGUGUGUUAAGGUCAGCUUCCCUCUCUGCCAUGUUUUCUUCCAUAUUUAAAAAAAAGGGAGAUUUUUUAUUAUAUGCCUGAAAACGUCUCACUGCUGCCCUCUUUAGGUCAAACUGUGCCUAAGCAUUUUAAUUUUCCUGUUGGUUACUGCAGUACUGGAAGCUGGCGUUACUAAAUCCACCUCUUGUUGCUAGGAAACGGUAAAAAAAAAAAAAAAAAAAAACACUGAUCAUGUUACCAAAUAGUUACGAGGUUGGUAUCAUUUAAUAAAGUUUAUGAAGAUGCCUGUCACGUCACCACAAAGAGACAAGAGAAAGGGAGAGUGUGACACAGAUGCCUUCCCUGACAGAGAGACAGACAGGCGGACGGAGAGGUGUGGCGGAUCCCCGAGACGCUCUGCAGAGUUAAUAUCCCCUCUCUGAGCCACUGGCUACCGUGAGGAUCCAGGCUGACGUCAGGGAUAUUUCUGUCCAUCUCCUGGUCAGGGAGGGGUCAUUAACUCUAAUGCAUUAUUCACACAGGCUGCAUCAACCUAGACAGAUCUUAUCUCAGCAGGGCAAAGCAACUAUCAGCCCUGAAUAAACACUAAACCACUCCGCCUUCACACAUUUAAAUUAAUCCAUUCAGAGGGAAUUUAAAAAUAAAAGCGAUCGUUGUUCCUUCA